CAGCAGCCGCGGUAACACGGAGGGGGCUAGCGUUGCUCGGAAUUACUGGGCGUAAAGCGCACGUAGGCGGCUUUGUAAGUUAGAGGUGAAAGCCCGGAGCUCAACUCCGGGAUUGCCUUUAAGACUGCAGAGCUAGCAGGUGAGAGAGGUGAGUGGAAUUCCGAGUGUAGAGGUGAAAUUCGUAGAUAUUCGGAAGAACACCAGUGGCGAAGGCGGCUCACUGGCUCAUACUGGACGCUGAGGUGCGAAAGCGUGGGGAGCAAACAGGAUUAGAUACCCCAGUAGUCCCUGUCUCUUAUAC
rnacentral:rRNA from 1 species